rnacentral:lncRNA from 1 species
GAAGCAAGAUGGCGAGCGCGCGGAACGAAAAUCUGUGUGCCUAGCAACAGCUUUCACUUCACAAUAUCGUUUUUUCAAAUCACUUGCUAAGGAUCAUGGCUGCGGCAGUAAAAUGGGCGAUAUCAAACAGAACUAUCUGGAAGCAUUUACUUCCAAUCCAAAACGGAGCUUUGUCUAGUGCUUGUCACAAAUCCACAUACUCUUCUCUUCCGGAUGACUACAAUUGCCAGGUGGACCUCGCCUUGACAGCCGACGGCAGGACAAUAGUGUGCUACCACCCUUCUGUGGACAUCCCCUACGAACACACCAAAGUAUCACAAUCGUCGUAAGAAACUGAAUCCUCCCAGAGACAGAUGACGACUCAUGAUUCCCCGGACAUCGGGAAAUUUUGCUUUGUGUCUUAUUUGCCAGCUGAGAAAAUGUACAUGGUACCAUCAUUAAGGUGGUCGGUAUAU